AAUGGUGUCUGACAUUUAUGACA
rnacentral:siRNA from 1 species